rnacentral:rRNA from 1 species
GGGGGGGCAAGCGUUGUUCGGAAUUACUGGGCGUAAAGGGCUCGUAGGCGGCCGACUAAGUCGGACGUGAAAUCCCUCGGCUCAACCGAGGAACUGCGUCCGAUACUGGUUGGCUUGAAUCCGGGAGAGGGAUGCGGAAUUCCAGGUGUAGCGGUGAAAUGCGUAGAUAUCUGGAGGAACACCGGUGGCGAAGGCGGCAUCCUGGACCGGUAUUGACGCUGAGGAGCGAAAGCCAGGGGAGCAAACGGGAUUAGAUACCCCGGGUAGUCCUGGCCCUAAACGAUGAAUGCUUGGUGUGGCGGGUAUCGAUCCCCUGCCGUGCCGAAGCUAACGCAUUAAGCAUUCCGCCUGGGGAGUACGGUCGCAAGGCUG